CGGGAUAGCUCAGCUGGUAGAGCAGAGGACUGAAAAUCCUCGUGUCAC
rnacentral:tRNA from 2 species